UCUCCCGCUUCUCCUCCCUGAGCGGGCGCCUUAUCCCAAUAAGGCAUCUUGUGCCCCGGUUUUAUCCCCUUUAGCCGGGGCCUUUUUUU
rnacentral:ncRNA from 1 species